rnacentral:rRNA from 1 species
AACGAACGCUGGCGGCGUGCCUAACACAUGCAAGUCGUGCGAGAAAGUUCCUUCGGGAGCGAGUAAAGCGGCGCACGGGUGAGUAACACGUAGGUAACCUGCCCCCCAGUCUGGAACAACUAGAGGAAACUCUAGCUAAUGCCGGAUGAGACCACGAUCCCUUCGGGGGUUGCGGCCAAAGAUGGCCUCUACUUGUAAGCUAUCGCUGAGGGAUGGGCCUGCGGGCCAUUAGCUUGUUGGUGAGGUAACGGCUCACCAAGGCUGUGAUGGCUAGCUGGUCUGAGAGGAUGACCAGCCACACUGGGACUGAGACACGGCCCAGACUCCUACGGGAGGCAGCAGUGGGGACUAUUGCGCAAUGGGCGAAGCCUGACGCAGCGACGCCGCGUGGGUGAU